rnacentral:lncRNA from 1 species
AAUGAAACCAGACAUAUGCACAUGCAUGGGAAAUGCUUUCUAGGCACAGGGAGCCCCAGGUGGAAAGGCCCAGGUGAAAGUGAGCCCAGAGGGUGUGAGAGCGAGCCAGGAGGUCAGGGAUGCUGAAGACAGAGAUGUGGGAGACAAGUCCAAGAGGCAGCUAGAGCCAGACAGGCAUCUCUUGCACAGUUGUAAUGUUACUGAAAAUAUGGAAAAUUAUGGCCCUGGAAAGAGACAAGUGGCACUUGGAGCUAUAGAAGAGAAAGGUUUGGUCAGCACUGGUGAGGGCUCAGCGGGGUCCUCUCCCAAAGCUGAGCACAGUCCUUUGUUCUCAGUAUCUUUUCUAUAGCACAGACUUUUGGGUUUCAGGACUUUCUUAUGGAUGUAAUCAUGAUGUCUCCCCCUUUCUCCACGCAGCUCUGGUUCCUGCCAUAGAUGCUGAGCAAACAUGAUUGCAGAAGCAGAAACUAGCAGGUUGUAGCUAUUAACAGAGAUAAAAAGAAACAUCUUAGGAAGGAGUUGCUGCUUCAGUAAUAGUUUAUAAAUCUCUCCUGAGCUUACAUGGGACCUUGAUCUUACUUUCAGAACAUAUUCUGUUUUUUCCCCUACUCUGGUAACAGGUAUUGAACCCAGGGGUGCUUAGUCACUGAGCCACAUCCCCAGCCCUUUUUAUUUUUUGAGACAGGCUCUCACUGGGUUGCUUACAUACUUGUUAAAUUGCUGAGGCUGGCUUGGAACCUGUGAUCCUCCUGCCUCAGCCUCCCAAGCUACUGGGAUUACAGGAAUGUCCCACCACACCAGGC